GAUUAACGCUGGCGGCGUGCAUAACACAUGCAAGUCGAACGAUGAAACUCAUUAGAUUUCUUCGGAAUGAAAAUGAAUGGAUUAGUGGCGAACGGGUGAGUAACGCGUGAGUAACCUGCCUUACACAAGGGGAUAGCCUCUGGAAACGGAGAAUAAUACCCUAUGAAACCAGACAAUCGCAUGAUAAUCUGGUCAAAAUGUUUAGUGGUGUAAGAUGGACUUGCGUCUGAUUAGCUAGUUGGUGAGAUAAAAGCUCACCAAGGCAACGAUCAGUAGCCGGCUUGAGAGAGUGUACGGCCACAUUGGGACUGAGACACGGCCCAGACUCCUACGGGAGACAGCAGUGGGGAAUUUUGCACAAUGGGGGAAACCCUGAUGCAGCGACGCCGCGUGAUUUAGAAGGCCUUCGGGUUGUAAAAAUCUUUUGUAUAGGAAGAAAAUGACAGUACUAUACGAAUAAGGUCCGGCUAAUUACGUG
rnacentral:rRNA from 1 species